rnacentral:rRNA from 1 species
UACGAAGGGGGCUAGCGUUGCUCGGAAUCACUGGGCGUAAAGCGCACGUAGGCGGCUUUCUAAGUCAGGGGUGAAAUCCUGGAGCUCAACUCCAGAACUGCCUUUGAUACUGGCAGUCUCGAGUCCGGGAGAGGUGAGUGGAACUGCGAGUGUAGAGGUGAAAUUCGUAGAUAUUCGCAAGAACACCAGUGGCGAAGGCGGCAUCACUGGCCCGGUACUGACGCUGAGGCGCGAAAGCGUGGGAGCAACGGG